rnacentral:rRNA from 1 species
UCCGUAGGCGGGUAAUAAGUCAGAGGUGAAAUCCCACAGCUUAACUGUGGAACUGCCUUUGAUACUGUUAGUCUUGAGUUAUAUGGAAGUAGAUAGAAUGUGUAGUGUAGCGGUGAAAUGCAUAGAGAUUACACAGAAUACCGAUUGCGAAGGCAGUCUACUACGUAUAUACUGACGCUAAUGGACGAAAGCGUGGGGAGCGAACAGGAUUAGAUACCCUGGUAGUCC